CGUUCAACGAAAUUAAGUUAAGGCCGCCAGUUUUCAAAAAUAAUAAUAAACGUUUAAAUUAUACAUCUUAUCAUUGCCGAGAAUACAAGCCGUACAGAGUUGCCAGUAUAGAUUAUUUUCGAAAACUGGCGGCCUUAACUUUAUAAAAUAUACGGACCUUCUUCCACCCUAUUCUUCCUAAUUUAACGACGGAUGACAACAGCCAACCGGCUACCUUCACGGAGACGGCUGCGAGGGAACCUCUACGGAGUAAAAUACUAAUUUACAUAUUUGAGAAUGAAAAUAUGACUAAGGGGGGUUCAUCCAAGCAGUUACACGGAGUAAGAGGCCAUGAAAGCUAAGAAAACUAAAUCUAAUAUGGAACUUUCUAAGGAAAAUUC